rnacentral:lncRNA from 1 species
GUUGUUCUUUUCAUUCUCUUUCAUUUUCUUUUUGUUCUUUAAGCCAAGAGAAUGCGUCGAGAAACUGAGAGGAAGGGAAGAGGAAAACGACAGAAAGAACCCAAGCCCACCAAGAAGCCCAAGGGUGAGAAGAAGAACAAAGGAGAGAAGGGUGGGAAGAAGAAAGGCAAGAAGAACAGGGAGGAGACCACCACGAUCACCACCACCACUGUGGCUCCCACAACCACUGUGGUCACUGAGUAUGAUGAGGAGUUUUAUGACCCUGAACCUGAACAGUACUGGGAUGAAGAAUUUCCUGUAGAGACAACAACAGCAGCAAAUCCCACAGUCCCUCCAACAGAGAAAACCACAGAAUUCCCAACAGACUUUCCUCCUGACACGGAUGAGUAUUCCCCACCUUAUCCUGACUCGUACGAUGACUAUUGGAAGGUGGAUGAACCCACACCUACAACCUCUGUGAUCGCCGGCCGUCCACCUGAUGAGGAUGGUGAUUACUGGGAUGCCAGAUAUGAGGUGGCAGAAAACAUGCCUUUCCCUGAUGGCAAAGAGAUCAGCUCUACCGACAAUGACAGGCAUUACACUACCACAGAAGAGCCCACCAUCCCUCCAUUUGAAAACAACUGGUAUGAAGAAUAUGAAUAUGGACAUGGUACAUACUGCUUUGAUACUCUAUUUUAAAAAGAAAACAAACCAAGUGAGACGGCAUGAGAGGUGUUGGCCUCGCUCUCAUCUUAAUGAGGGUACAAACAGAGUGACCUGUCAUUUCUGCACUCAAAUAAACAGUUUCAGAGACACAGAGGUGCCGCUUGAUGUCAGGCUGAAGAUUUUAAGUCAUGUUGCCAUUGGAUGAAAAUGAUAAAUGGAAAUAUUUUUCCAACCAUUUUUCUUGCAGCAUAUCUCCUCCCC